CCAACCCAAUGUGAACGUUACCAAACUGUUGCCUCGGCGGGAUCUCUGCCCCGGGUGCGUCGCAGCCCCGGACCAAGGCGCCCGCCGGAGGACCAACCAAAACUCUUAUUGUAUACCCCCUCGCGGGUUUUUUUAUAAUCUGAGCCUUCUCGGCGCCUCUCGUAGGCGUUUCGAAAAUGAAUCAAAACUUUCAACAACGGAUCUCUUGGUUCUGGCAUCGAUGAAGAACGCAGCGAAAUGCGAUAAGUAAUGUGAAUUGCAGAAUUCAGUGAAUCAUCGAAUCUUUGAACGCACAUUGCGCCCGCCAGUAUUCUGGCGGGCAUGCCUGUCCGAGCGUCAUUUCAACCCUCGAACCCCUCCGGGGGGUCGGCGUUGGGGAUCGGCCCUGCCUUGGCGGUGGCCGUCUCCGAAAUACAGUGGCGGUCUCGCCGCAGCCUCUCCUGCGCAGUAGUUUGCACACUCGCAUCGGGAGCGCGGCGCGUCCACAGCCGUUAAACACCCAACUUCUGAAAUGUUGACCUCGGAUCAGGUAGGAAUACCCGCUGAACUUAAGCAUAUCA
rnacentral:rRNA from 1 species